rnacentral:rRNA from 1 species
UGGAGGGCAAGUCUGGUGCCAGCAGCCGCGGUAAUUCCAGCUCCAAUAGCGUAUAUUAAAGUUGUUGCAGUUAAAAAGCUCGUAGUUGAACCUUGGGUCUGGCUGGUCGGUCCGCCUCACCGCGAGUACUGAUCCGGCUGGACCUUUCCUUCUGGGGAACCUCAUGGCCUUCACUGGCUGUGGGGGGAACCAGGACUUUUACUGUGAAAAAAUAGAGUGUUCAAAGCAGGCCUUUGCUCGAAUACAUUAGCAUGGAAUAAUAGAAUAGGACGUGCGGUUCUAUUUUGUUGGUUUCUAGGACCGCCGUAAUGAUUAAUAGGGAUAGUCGGGGGCAUCAGUAUUCAGCUGUCAGAGGUGAAAUUCUUGGAUUUGCUGAAGACUAACUACUGCGAAAGCAUUCGCCAAGGAUGUUUUCAUUAAUCAGGGAACGAAAGUUAGGGGAUCGAAGACGAUCAGAUACCGUCGUAGUCUUAACCAUAAACUAUGCCGACUAGGGAUCGGACGGGAUUCUAUAAUGACCCGUUCGGCGCCUUACGGGAAAC